CAGUCGCCGCGGGAAUACAGAGGGUGCAAGCGUUAAUCGGAAUUACUGGGCGUAAAGCGCGCGUAGGUGGUUUGUUAAGUUGGAUGUGAAAUCCCCGGGCUCAACCUGGGAACUGCAUUCAAAACUGACUGACUAGAGUAUGGUAGAGGGUGGUGGAAUUUCCUGUGUAGCGGUGAAAUGCGUAGAUAUAGGAAGGAACACCAGUGGCGAAGGCGACCACCUGGACUAAUACUGACACUGAGGUGCGAAAGCGUGGGGAGCAAACAGGAUUAGAUACCCCAGUAGUCCCUGUCUCUUAUAC
rnacentral:rRNA from 1 species